rnacentral:rRNA from 1 species
CCUACGGGAGGCAGCAGUGAGGAAUAUUGGUCAAUGGGAGAGAUCCUGAACCAGCCAAGCCGCGUGAGGGAAGACGGCCCUAUGGGUUGUAAACCUCUUUUGUCGGAGAACAAAACCCGGGACGUGUCCCGGACUGCGUGUAUCCGAAGAAAAAGCAUCGGCUAACUCCGUGCCAGCAGCCGCGGUAAUACGGAGGAUGCGAGCGUUGUCCGGAAUUACUGGGUGUAAAGGGAGCGUAGGCGGGAAGCCAAGUCAGCUGUGAAAACUACGGGCUUAACCUGUAGACUGCAGUUGAAACUGGCUUU